rnacentral:lncRNA from 1 species
CUUGACAUAAUCCUUCAUUUACUAAUAGCAUUGGAUUCUGAUGUUAUUAACCUGAAUUGUAAAUGUGAUUUGCAGAUUAAUCACCAAAGCCUUGGGAGCGUUCUAGAGCUGAAGGAGCAUCUGGUCCUGCACCUUUUUUUAGCCCCCAUCUGGUGGAAGCACCAGUGAUGUUGUUGAAGCUUCUGGUACCGCUAAACCCGACAAAAAUGUUACUGUGACACAGAGGUGUGUCUUUCUUGUUUUUUUGGUGGCAUCAAGAUAUUUCUGUUGUUUAAGAAAUUCACUGAUGUCUGUGCUACAACAAGCCUUUAGUAUUUCUUUUAUGCAUGGUAUUUCUUUUGUGCACGAGUAUUUAGUUUUUCUACAACGAGCCUUUAGUGUCGAGCUGGUGUUUGUGCUUGAGCUUUAGUACGUCUACAACAAGCCUUUAGGAAUGUCAUAUGCUCAUAUGCUUAGUUGUGCAUGAGUAUUUUUGUUGCAAGGUUUAGAUGCAGUGUUCUGGUCUUUAGUGCAUGUAUUUUAUAGAAUAUAACACUUCUAUAUUGUAGAAUGCAAUCUGAUAGUUUACAUAGGAACUGAUAAACUUGAUUGAUCCUUGGCAUUAUAGUACAAAAAGUGCAAUACCUUGUGAAUCAAUUUUGUACCUCAUUGUCAUGUACGGGUUAACUGUCCAUACACUGUAUUACAUGUUUUCUACAACCUGUUCUUAUUUCUCAACAAACAGUAGCAAUCAUUGGUCAGGACAUGUAGCUUAAUGCUAUCUUGUUGUUACUACAUAGGUGUCGUAACACCUUGCCUACUAUUCAUAAAUGCAGGACCUGUGAUCUAGAAGGACACAACAGGCAAGGUGGAUGUAUUCGUAGCUGGUUCAGGAACAGAAGGCACAGUUUAUUGCUUCUUUUACAUUCAUUUUACUGCUUCUUAAGUAAUUAUUCAACUAGGAACGUGUACUGAAU